GGUCUACCCAAUCAGGAUAUGGCUUUGUGUACGUCGGCCUAAUGACAGGACGCACCCCAAAAGUCAUCUGAUCCUGUACGAUUUCCAUAAUUUGGUUCGUCAACAUGACGUUGGGGUCAUAUGGAAUUCCUACAGGUUGGUUAACCGGUUGAUUUGCAUGAGGCCUGAUGUUUGGUCCUUGAUUGGCGACAAAAUUACCAUGAUUAGAGCCAUUACCAUUAGCCUGAAUAUCUAUUCCCUCAUUAACACGUGGAAUAUUCUGUCCAUUGUUCAGGACAUUAUCUUUUAUGUUUGGGUUACCCCCAAGUUUGGCAUACUACUACCAUUGUUCUGAUUUGGCACUGUAGUACCCCCUUGAUUUGAAGUAGAGGGACCAGAAAACGGUUCUACCCCUUGAUUCGGAUUUAGGACCGAGGGAUUAUGUCCCACAAUUGUCCUAGUUUGAAAGUGGUUUGUAAGAGGUAUAGCCGGUUGACAUAUUUGGCCUACUAACUUAUUCAUUGUUUAGUUCAACGUCUUUAGUUGUUUGGCCAUGUUGUCAUAGUGUACAUUCCCAUUUUGCGUAAAUCUUUCCAUAUUAUGAAUACUUCGAAGAUUUACCUGUUCAACGACGUCUUGCGUGAGUUCUCCAAGUAAUGCACGCAUGGUUCGAGGACUCAACUCCGUCAUUGGUUCGUAACGACUGUUACUGCUCUGAUUCUGUCCAUCUGUUCGUGGAGAGGCAUGCUGCUCCUCAUAUCGCUCGAUCACAGACUGUAUUCCUCCCUGACUUGCUGCUUCCUUAUCGGAUCUCUGAGGCAUAUUAUUUCACCUUUUGUACUUUCAAAACCUAACACCACUGUCCCACCGGGCGUGCCAAAUUGUUUCGCGCGGGUUAGUCGCUAACAAUUAAAAGGGAUCAGACGAUUGUGUAAGGGACAAACCUCUUGAGACAAAGUCCCAAAAAGGGGUGUUCUUUUAUUGGUGAUGACUUUACAAUUGGAAAUUAAAAACAAUGUGCCUCCAAGGAGCGCAAGCACACGAGUUACUGAAAGAAAAGUGUUUAAAUCUAAGCUAAGGAAAUUAAAAUUACAUGUUCUCUGUUCGAGAGUUUUUGAUUCGGUCCUUUACUCUACGUCUUUUCUCCCUUUUAUACUUCAUGGACGGUCUCUUUGUGAUCAACCACCUAAAAACUGCUUAAUCGUCCUAUAACUGCCCACUUUCCUCGUAAUGGCCAACUUGUCAUGAAAACUGUCUUUUUUAACUGCUGUCAUUACUCUUUGUCGUUCAACCGCUUUCGAUUUAAUUCCUUGAAUCGUGGAACGUGAUAGGGCUGCUUUGAUAACGGCACGUCUUGAUAAUCACAACGCUUUAUAUGUGUUAAGACCUUGGGCGAAUUGAAGGUUUGGGCGAGAAUAGCGUAACAGCUCUGGGCGACUAUAUGGCACUCCGUUCGCUAAGAUUCUGGGCGACUUGCAAACUUGGGCGAUGGCUUUACCGCGUUCUUGGGCCUCCUUAUUUGGGCCUUCAUACUGAUUUGUUUGAUUGGAUUUCGUUCUUUGGGCUAUCUGAUUUGGGGAUCCUCCAAUUGGGUUUCACUCCUUGGGCCGUUUGAUUUGGGCUGAAUUUUUAUGUGUCAACAGUAUGAUUUUGUUCUUUUACUUCUGAUCUAUAAAGAAGUGACGAGACUUUGUUUCUAUAUUUGGCAUCUGAUGCUGAAGAUGUUUGAUAAUAAAUCAGGUUGCUAGGCAGCUUCAAGUGCACAUUGAACCCGAAAAUUUGCAAUUGCCAACUCCUUUAUCGUCUUUAGGAGAAUACGAGGUGCCGCUUCGCCUACCAAAGUCCGUUCCUAGGCCACAAGGAAAAGUUCAAUGGACUCUUAGCAUCAAAAUUAGGAAACUAUACAGGGACCUUGGCCAUUUGAAUGAUUACGACGUUUUUUCUUUUCUUUUUUAUCUUUUUAACUUGUAGAAUUAGAGAAUAAUUAUUUCUAUGAGUUUUGGAACAGAUUGAACAUAUGUAUCUAUCAUCAUUUUGUAUCCUUGACCAUUGAAAGUCGUCUCAUUUAUUUAAGGAGCGUUCAAAUUGUUGCAAUAUUUUGUGCCAAAAACUUGUAUAUAAAUGGAUUCUUGCUUAUGAGCCUGAAUCUGUCCUCUGAGACGUAUAAUGUGUGGUAGAAUUAAGUCUCUUGUACAGAUGAAAUGUACAAAAAUCAUCACAGAUAAACAGGUGGCAACACUGUAUUGACUGGUUUAAUUGUAUUUUUUGUCCAGGAUCGAGCUAUUUAGUCACAAUGGAUGAUAUCGGGGUUGACACAACACACACACAUGGGGGAUCGGGAUUAUUUUAUUCAGGCGGGAUCCGCCUCGACAUGUGAGGGCGCGGUCAUUCAUUGUGUCAACCAUGAUGUUCAUUUGACAUUUCCCUAUUGUCCAGCCCAAUGAAAUUUUGUCAGGAUUGAUGUGUGGUAGCUAGGUUGAUAUGUGAUAUAGUACGCAAAGGUUUUGUGAAACUUGUACGUGUAAGAAUUAUGUUUCUUUUGUGGGCAAAUGUGAGGUGGGAAAGAAGAUGGUUAUCUUUUUGUAGGUGCAAAUUCUUUGGCAAAAGCCAAACAUACAUGUCUAAUUGUAGACAUUAUUGUCUACAUUAAGACAAGUGAGUCAGCCUUUUGUGUCAUGUAUUUGGUGAUUAUCCCUUCACAGCCACAUAAAUCUUAAUGAACCUUUGUCGUUGUCUUGAAAAUGAUUAAAAAAUUUGUCAAAUUAAUGUAGUAACAUUUUAAUUUUUCAAAAAAACAAAUUCAAAGUUCAUUAAAUUGGAUGUAUGAUUUUUAUGACAAUUUAACAAAAAUAUUAACGAUUUUUUACAUUAUGGACAAGUUAUGUGACUACUAAGAAAAGGAUUGAAGAUUAACUUACUACUAUGAAAUAGAAUAAAAAAUCGAUAUGCAAUUUUCCUUAAUAUUGAAGAUGUCAUGUCCCUACGAAAGUGAACCAAAAAGUUCAUAUAUUUAGCCACGUUUUCACGUGUUGGGCCUUUUGAUGUGGGGUCCUUGCAGGUAAAAAAGAAAAUUCAUUUUUGACUUAUGAUCUAAUUAUAAUUACAGACUUUGUCCUAUAUUUUUGUUAAGCCAUUGUUAGAUAGAAAUUAAAAUCAAAUUUUUAGCAGAUUAGUUUCAUAAAAAUAUGUAAUUUAAAUUCAUUGUUGAUUUAGAUUAAGCUUCCAUUAUAUUAAAUUUCAUUAUAUAUAUAUAUAUAUAUAUAUAUAUAUAUUUUUUUUUUUUUUUUUCAAUCACACAAUUUUUUAUAAAAUAAUAUUAAAUUUAAAUCGAAAUGUUUACUUUUUUUUUAUCCACUUUUUUUAAAAAAAAAUACUAUUUCACCUAUUUUUACUUCAAAAAAUGAGAGUCAAACGGGGCCUAAAAUUGUAAUCCAUAGCAAACGGGGCUAAAUCUCUCUCUCAGUUUCCCCUUUCUUUCCCGAACGCCAACUAUGACUUUGACUUUCAGCUGGCCAAAGCCGGCCGUCCUCUAUUCACCAGUCAUCAUCCGCCACGUCCUCAGCAAUCAGGAACCUUCUAACUAUGGUAUUAUUUUAUCAAAUAUUUUUUUCAAAGUUACAAUAUUUUAUUAAAAAAGUAAUUUAAAUUUAUUUACUAAAAAACAACUUUUAAGUAAAUUCAAUUUAAUUAAAACUAUUUCCAACAAAUAAUAUUAAGAGGUUGUUUAGAAGUCAUUUUGAGAAUUGAUUUUUUAACCGUUAGAAGAAAAGUGGGAUCCACCCGUGAAAAAAAAAUCAAAUAUGACGGCUAAAAUAGUAAAAUAACGGUUAAAAAAUCAAUUUUUUUGUUGAAAAAAUCGAAUCCAAACAGGCCCUAAACUUACAUAGGUGAUUUCUAUUUAUUAAAGAUCUACAUAAGUUUUACAUAUUGACAUUUUGAAGCAAAAAACACAGUGAUGAAGACUUCUCAACUUUUCUAUAAUAAAAAAAUAAAAAGAGAGAGAGAGAGAGAGAGAGAGAGAGAGAAUACUUAACAAAUGUCUUAAUAAUUAGACAAAUUAUUAGUUUUCCACUAAUGAAAACGAAAUAAUUAACAAAAAAAAAAAAUAGCACAUGCUACAUAAUAAACGUGUGCGCGCUUAUAUAUUUGCAGCAAUCCUCAGCCUCAUUUUUCUUGUCCAUUCUUGAAAAUUUCAAUUCAGACAAUACAACUCUCCAGCCUCUUCUUUCUAAAAUUUAGAAAAAGCUCACAAAAAGUUAAAAAUAAAAAUAAAAAAAUGCCGUUCUGUAACGUAACUUCGUACCAGAACGGCGAUGGAGAUGAAUCGAACAUCAAUGAAACCAAUAUUUUCUACAGAACGUACGGUCAUGGGUCGGUGAAAGUUCUUUUGAUUAUCGGUAACCCAUUUUGAUUUGAUUGAUUCCAUUUUAUCCAAGUAUUUGAAUCAGUUUAAUGGGUUUUCUUUUGAAUUUUUGUUUGGUCGGUGAUGGUGUUUUUGGAUGAAUGGUUAGGAUUGGCUGGGACCCACGAUUCAUGGGGUCCACAGAUAAAGGGUCUCGCUGGAACGGUGAUUCCGAACGACGAUGAGUCGACGGCCGGUGAUCGGAGCAAUGAGAGUGACGAAGGUGAUGGCGUUGAGGUCUGUGCGUUUGAUAAUCGGGGAAUGGGUCGGAGCUCCGUUCCCAUCAAGAAGUCCGAAUAUACGUGAGUGCCAUUAAAUUAUAAGCUGCUUCAUUUUGUGAUUGGAUUCUCAUUAUAGCUUAAUUGUAGAUAAUUGUCGUUAAAUUUGAUGUUCUAUUAUUUUUAUUUUUUUGCAUACGUUGUAUGUGCUAACACCCCCACAUUUAUUAAAUAGUGGAACGACAUUGAUAUUUCCGACUAGAAAUUUCUUAAUCCUCUUCCCCCUUCUUUUCCUCCCGAUUUUGGGUGCAAAACUGGUACACUUUUGUAAAGCCAAAUAAGUGAUUUUAGCUUAGAGGAGAUUCUUGAACCCCUUUCACACUUUUGUCACGAAUGAUAUCUUUAUGUGGAUUCAUAGAAAAGAAAGUUUUUCCAACUUGACAGCGCCUAUUCAACAACAAUUAGGUACAUAUGAGGUGAGAAAUAACUUGAAAAUGAAGGUUUUCAAUUUAAUGAUCACACUUCUUUAAGGUUUAUGAACAGUCAAGAAAUAAAUUUCGAGCAAAAAAAUAAUGAGAUGUUAAAAACAUUGACAUUUGUUAUAUUCGGGAAGUAGGUUGAAGAAUUUUGGGCAUGAUAUUUCUUUGGCUUUCUGGAAUUUGAUUGUUGUAUUAUACUUAGCCUUGUAAUUUCUUGUAGCUGAAAAUAUAAUUCAGAUUUUAAUCAUUCCCGAAAGUUAGGAUUUUAUUUUGUUUUACGAGGCAGGACAAGAAUUAUGGCAAAAGAUGCAAUAGCUCUAAUGGAUCACUUGCAUUGGAAAAAGGCCCAUGUCUUCGGCCAUUCAAUGGGUGAGUUCUGACUUUGAAUUUCUGCUUUGCAUUUGUGACUUGUUCUAUGCUUGUCGAACUUAAUGAUAUUCAUUCGACAUUUAGUUUUAUGUGCAUUACAUAUUCACUGCUUACGUAAAUAGACUACGGCAUAGAAAAGGAGCACCACUGGACUCCCAAUAUGCUGAAAUGUUCCCAGUCUCAUGAUUAGAUAUGUAAUUAAUCGGCAAUGGGGCAUUGCAGUGCAUUUGAAUGCUCAUUAGUCGCUAUUUGGACCGAGCAACUUAAACUUUUGGUCCAUUAUGUAGUUAAUAAUUUCAUUAGCAUUGUGAGCUUAAAAUUAUUAAAGGGCUAACUUCUAGAGGAGUUUCCAGUGCAAAAAUUCAAUUUUGUAAGAGUUACUUAAAACGUGAGGAAUAGAAAAACGCUAUGAUGGUCAAUGUGAUAAUUCUGAUUCAAACCAAAUAACAUUAUUUUGACCCAGAAUUCGGUUUCUUUUUCAAACUAGGUCCCCUGAAAUGCUUAUCAUAUGCUCAGAAAAAAACUAGAC
rnacentral:sRNA from 1 species